GCAGCCACGAACUGAUUUGAAAACAAAAAGAACCUGGCGUCUGAAUUCUGAACUGAAAUGUUCUCAAACAUAAAAAAUCUGAAUUGUCCGAUUUUGUACAGGCGAACCAGAUCUUUCGAGAAACCCCCCUAGAGUUCUUGUUUCUCCAAACCAAGCCCUCCUCGGCGAGGAUUGCCACGGCAUGCCUCCACGGCGGCGCUCCGCCGGGCGCCGGCUUCCAUGUUUCCUCCAAAGGCCGAACUCAACUAACCUUACGACUUCUCCUGGCUACCGUCCCACACCCCACUCCCCGCCGCCAUUUGGUUUCCGCCAUGGAACUGGAUUUCCACACUGACCUGCGCCCCUCACCACCAAGAACUUCCUAAUCUCUGCAAGUAAGCAGUUAACCUAGAGAGCGGGCAAGUUCGAUACUAGUUUGGCUGUAAUCUAGAGUUGCGGUUGGACUGGAUUGGUUCGAGAUCGCUUGCAGUUGGAGCUGUUGAUUGUGUGUUACCGCAACUUUGCGAAUGUUCCUCUAGUUCUCUUGGUUAGUGAUACAGUGAACAUGUUAUAAGGUCAAUUUGACUGGGGCAAGGGGAUUGGCGUCUGACUGUGCUUCACUUAGAUCAAGCUUGAUCUCUACUCGCCAUUAUUAGGGUGCAUUGGAGGAUUGCUCUGUGAUGCUUACAGCUUUUAGGGUUGUUCCAUAUUUUUCUAUGGCAUUAUCAGAACUAAUUGAGAUUGUGGCAGGUCUUGUUUGCUAGUAGCAACUUAUUGUGAUAUAGCUCUUGUGUGUUUUAGUGGCUUGUUUCCACCGUGUUGUAGAGUGUAGACUUAGUACUAUAAAUGACAGUGAUUAUAAACGUGUCUUUUCUUCUGACAAGACUAAUGUAUGGCAAGAGGUCAUGGGUGAUUUGAUUGUUAGUAAUAAGGGUACUCAUUCGUUAGCAUGAAGUGUCUGUUCCACAUGCUGGAGAGGGAUUUCUUGGCACAAUCUGCAGACCCGACUGGAACUGGCAGCUGACGGUGAUUCUGUGUACAAAUGAGCAUUGCUUUACUGAAGUCUCAGUAUAUGUGUUCCCCAACUUAGUUUUUGUGUGUGUGUUUCUAAACUCUGAACCAUAGAAUUUGUUCUAAUAUGCCCAACAUUUACCUGAACUGGGGCGGCUACUACUGCCAAAUAUAUGUCUGACAACUGAAUCUCGUUUCUCCAGGUUUAUGGUGAUCAAGCUCUAUUUCUUAAUGAUGAGAUCCGUCCAGAACUGAAACAAUAAAAAACUGGCACUGUUGCUAUGGCAAGUUGUGUUGAGAAUUACAAUGCCUUACAGGUACAAUACUGCAUCAUCACCGAUCAAUCAUUUUUUAGGGACUCGGUGCUCUUUUCAGCCUUUUGAUAUCUGUUUGUGAUUUUUUUCUGCAUCAUCCUUGUAAGACAAUGUGGACUACCUUGAUGAUAAGUACUCUGUCAGCAUUGUAUUAUAAACUCUUUUUUCUCAACUGUGUGGGAGGUUGACAAUUGCUUUAUCUUUAACGAGUUCACCUCUUCUGUUUGUAUCAAUCAUAUGUCUUUGGGACAGUUGAUGAUGGUCUUGACCUGAAAAAGAUAAAUGAAGUAUAUAUUGAUGAUAAGGAAGACCGUUUAAAGACAUAAGGUGGAUUGUUAUUUCACACCUUUGGUAAACUCCAUAGUUAGGACCUAUCUGCCAAAGCAUAGGGGUUUGUGGUUUGAUGCCCUUUGGAGCCCAAAGUUUGCCGGCCUUUUCAUGUCUGCUUGAAAGUUUUGGUAUGCCAUUUGGUUUGAUGCCAAAAUGUAGUUAAAUUUAUGUUCUAUUUUUUUGCGAAAGAAAGUUAUGUUCUAUUUAUGCCCCAGUUCAUUUUUGGAGUAAAAUGUGGCCAAAACCCUGAGCUACCUGUUUGGUCUGCAAAAUUUGGCUUGGUUUCAUGCGGUAUAUUCAGGCACAGACCAGGUAGGCUUCUUUUCCAACAUUUCUUUGCUUUCUUUAUUUUGGCCUACUGAUUGUUUUCGAAAUUCUCAAUGUGCAUGAUUAAACACACAUAUAUCUUGGAUCAUCCUUGUCAGCUUGCUGAACUUAUUUCUGAGAAUUCUCAGUUAGGAAAGCUACAUGGUGAGGUAGUUCGAGUUAUGACAGGUCCCCCACCCACCACAUGGUGAGGUAGUUUGAGUUUGAGUUAUCGAUUUAUCGUACAUACAAAAUGAACAUUCUCCGUAUAAUAGAGAGCCCUGUAAAAGUCGUUAUGUUCUCACCGCCAUGUGAUGCCCUCUCGAUGUGAAUAUGUCAUGUUCUUUUUCCUUCCGCAAAUACACAGGUUGCAGAAGAGCGGCUAGAGGAUAGGUGGGUUCCUUUAGAUGAAAUAGUGGAUCGUGAUCAGCUUGAGGAGAUGAAUCGCUCUAUAUAGAAGCACAUGCUCACCCAUGAUCCUUGACAGUGUUGAAGACAUUCCUGAUGCUGAGGUCAAACCACCAGACAAUGUCUUAUUUGUUUGUAAACUCAACUCAGCGACAUAGGCCAUUUUUAACAAUAUUUCUGGAUAAGUAAAUUGGCUACUUCAAUCAUUUUACAGUAUGAAGAUCUAUAUGCAAUCUUCUCAGUUCUCACGUUUUGGAACUUUGACAUCGGGAGUCCCUUUUUAAACUUCAUUUAAUGUGUGCAUCUCCUCAUUUAUGCUCUCAACUUCACAUCAUUGGUUGCAGAGCUGAAAUAAUUCGUGACUUCAAGACCGGAGAUAGAUUAUGUUAUGCUUUUAUUGAAUUUGAGGCAAAGGAGGCAUGCAAACGCACAUAUUUCAAGAUGGACAAUUGCCUGAUUGAUGAUAGUAGGAUCCAUGUUGAGUUUAGUCAAAGUGUUUCAAAACUGUGGGGUCAGUUCAGCCGAAGCAAACAAAAUGCAAAUGAAGAUGGGUGCUUCAAGUGUGGUGCUCCAAAUCACAUAGCCUGAGAUUGAAAGCUCCAAAUUAUGUUCUGAAAGAUGAAAACACUCAGUGAGGCGGGAAUAACUGCCGAAGUAUCACAGUAGGAGCAGAACCAGGGACGACGGCGAAGAUCAGGAGUUGGUCGAUAUGAUAGGGAUACGCCU